GAUGUCGAAACAAGAUGCGCAUUGAUAUGGUACUUGGUAUCAGCUGUGAUCACGUUUGGGUUUCAGAUCAGGAUAAUAGUGCGUUACGUCAUGAAAAAUAAUUUAAUGGGAGCCUUUCGAAAUAAUAAGAAGUACGGGCCGUUUGAUAAGCGAGAUCGUACACGUCGGCGGCUGUACGACGUGGCUAUAGAUGAAAGGCAAUGUUUCCAUGACUGUAUAACCAUAGAUGAAGAAAUUGAUUGUAAUCAUUUGCCGCUUAUGAAUACGGGAGAAGGACCUUCA